rnacentral:lncRNA from 1 species
ACAGGUAUGUAUUAGCUUUUGCCAGACCUGGGUCAGAGCCCAAAGUCAAAACUGAGGCCAAAGGGACAAUCUUGCUGAGGACUCCUGCUGCUGCCAAGGGCUGUCCAUCCAUAGGAAGACUUCCCUUGACAGCCCUGUCCUGAGGCAGCUGGUUCUGGUGGGCAGCUGGAAACAUAUACUUUUUCAGUACUCCAUAUUGUGAUGUCAACCCUACAAUAGAUUAUCCUUGAAAAAGAAUAUUACUCCCACCUUUUGGGACCCCUCUGCUACCUUAUAGAGUGA